AUGUACUACUUGUACAUUCCGGUUCCUGCGCUGCUCUUCACCCCGCUGAGGGCCGCUCGUGACAGAUCCUGAACA
rnacentral:sRNA from 1 species